UACGUAGGGUGCAAGCGUUAAUCGGAAUUACUGGGCGUAAAGCGUGCGUAGUCGGUUAUUUAAGUCGGAUGUGAAAUCCCCGGGCUCAACCUGGGAAUUGCAUUCGAUACUGGAUAGCUAGAGUUCGGCAGAGGGAAGUGGAAUUUCGGGUGUAGCGGUGAAAUGCGUAGAUAUCCGAAGGAACAUCAGUGGCGAAAGCGACUUCCUGGACCAGAACUGACGAUCAGGCACGAAAAGCGUGGGGAGCAAACAGG
rnacentral:rRNA from 1 species